rnacentral:rRNA from 1 species
UAAACUAGGAUUAGAUACCCUAUUAUUUUAGAGCUUUACAUUGUAAGUAAAUAAUAAUUACGAAAGCAAAAAAUUAUGGCGGUAUUUUAAGCUUUUCAGAGGAAUUUGCUCUUUAAUGGAUAAAACACCUAAAUCUUACUUAAAUUUGUUAGGUCAAUUUGUAUACCACUAUUAAAUUAAUUAAUAAUUUUAAUUUAUAAAAUUUAUAUAAAUUUAAAAAAAAUUAAGUCAAGGUGCAGUAAAAAUUUAAGAAUGAAGUGAAUUACAAUUCUCUUAAGAGAUUAUUUAAAUUAAAAUUUUAAUUUAGGAUUUGAAAGUAAAAUUAAAAUAGAAUGUUA